rnacentral:miRNA from 1 species
AUAGUGAUUGUGUGUUGGAA